AAGAACUUUGCCGUUCUUCAACCCUUCUGUGGACAACUAAAACGUUGCCUCGGCGGGCCGGCCCACGCCUAGUGGCGCCGCGAGCCGCGGCCCCGUCCUCGGACGGUGCUGCUCCCGCCGCAGGCCCAAAACCCCAAACCAUUUACAACGUCCUUCUGAGUGAUUGUAGAUACAAAAUCUAUUCA
rnacentral:misc_RNA from 1 species